rnacentral:rRNA from 1 species
CGAACGUUGUUCGGAAUCACUGGGCUUAAAGGGCGCGUAGGCGGAUUCGCAAGUCCGGGGUGAAAUCCCACAGCUCAACUGUGGAACUGCCUCGGAUACUGGGAGUCUCGAGGGUGGCAGGGGUAUGCGGAACUAUCGGUGGAGCGGUGAAAUGCGUUGAUAUCGAUAGGAACUCCGGUGGCGAAGGCGGCAUACUGGUCCACUUCUGACGCUGAGGCGCGAAAGCCAGGGGAGCAAACGGG